GCUCCCAACUAAAGAAUCAGUUCCUGCUAGAUACAAAGUGGCAACAAAACAACUACAUAUAGGACUUUUACACCAGUGGUUUUCAAACUGCGGGUCAUGACUGGGUCGCGGCGGCUCUGGAAGAGCCCAGAGGAAACUACACAGCUAUGAAAGUGUAGGAAUGAAUGUUCAUCCUUCAGAAUCCAGCCAUACUAUGACAAACUGUGGAACAGGAUAACACUACCUUAUUUGGUUAUCUUUUUUCAGGUCCACUUUCAUCAGAAAGAUGUGCCCUUGAAGGCCAUCUCCUACACACCAGCAGAGUGCCUCCAUCAGAUAAGAGGGCGAACGAGAAGUAAGGAGGACAUGUUUUGCAAAGUGCUGCAAUCAUCAGAUCAGGCUGAUAGUGAGCACAGAGCAUGGAGAGAGGCAAUAAACAAGAAAUGGAUAGCCAGGAGAAGAGACUGGGCCAGGAGCA